AUGAUGUGUACAUUUACCACGCACACACUUUGUUCCGUUUGUGUCUCUUUUUGUGUAGGUACCCAUGAACACUCGUCAACCUCACAAUCCCAUGAGUUGAGGAAACGAGCUCUAGAGAGCAAUGAUGACUUGGGAUCCCGUGGAUUGUCCUUACCACCACUCCCUUCGCGUAAAGACUUCGCACAUCUCUUCUACACGGCCCUCACAUGGUUAUGGGUUAUUUACCACUUCUCACUUUAUGCCCAUAUUGCCAUGCUCACUUUGCAUGAUAUGCUCAUUCCUAUGCCUUUGCCAUGCAUUUGUUACCCAUGCUUUGCAUUACACAUGGUGAUUGAUUCUAGUACGUGUAUGUGUAUUUGCAUGCUUGGUGUAGAUAUCACUUGUUAUUACCAUGUUUGCUUUGUGCCCCAUGCCUAUGAUGAUACUAUGAUCUUGCUUUGUGUUCGUUCUUGCGAUAUGUCAUGUGCAUUGCCUAUGCCUAUUAUUUGCUCACAUGACAUGAUUGCCAUGAUUUCCUCUAGUGUGUUGCAUCUUCGCUCCACUAGUUUGCAUGACAUGAUUGAUAUGCUUACUUAUGUUGCAUCACCGAUGAUUCAUACUUGCUCGUUUCUUGCGGUUGAUGGCAUCCAUUUCCAUGCUUUGCACAUGAUUGACUUGAUUGCCUCACACAUAUCAAAAAAUUGCUCUUCCCUUUGUGUUGAGUGCCAUGAUAUCUUCACUACACCAUAUGCACAUUAUGCUUGGAUUGUCUUGCACUCGCCCCAUGUGUUUAGACAUCUAACUAUAUUUGGUGUUGUGAAUGAUUCCUAUGCAUACCAUAGACUAUUUGUUGAGUGCUUUAUGGAUGCUUGCUAUGACCUCGAGGUAGAUGCUUGUUCACUUGUCACACAUAUUAGCAUCUUCACCUCACAUUUGCAUGCUUGUUUCCAUGAUGUCCUUGAGUGUGCUCAGCUUAUAUGCAUAAAUGCCAUGCCACACUUCUUUGUCAAACCACAUGCUAUGCUUGAUGACAACACUUGUCGGGUGAAUCACCUCUUGAAUGCUUGUUUUUUCUCUUACGCCAACCACAUUUGUUUUUCCAAGUGCUUGUUAUCUUUGCUCCUUUUGAAGGAAUUACAAGACGGUCCAACAUUGGAGGGUGCCCAUUUGACACAACAAGAUGAUGAAUGCUUGGUGAUCGUCCACUUCUACACGGCAACAUCAUCUCUUUCCAAUGGUGAUUUGGAUUUUGAUCCGAGGUUGGAUCUUUCCCAAGGGGGAGGGGAUGAUGCGGGCAUCCUAUGGACAUCACCAUGUCAAGAGUCCAUUUGGAAAGUGACACGUGCCACAUCUACUUCAUACAUACAAAGGUGA
rnacentral:rRNA from 1 species